GCGUGGGUGAUGAAGCUCUGAGGAGUGUAAAGCCCUGUUAGGAGGGAAGAAACUUCCCGUUUCGGGAACUGACGGUACCUCCAGAGAAAGCUCCGGCUAACUCCGUGCCAGCAGCCGCGGUAACACGGGGGGAGCAAGCGUUGUCCGGAUUUACUGGGCGUAAAGAGCGUGUAGGCGGGACAAUUAGUCAACUGUGAAAACUUUCGGCUUAACCGGAAGCGUGCAGCUGAUACUGUUGUCCUUGAGUUCGGAAGAGGGAAGUGGAAUUCCUGGUGUAGCGGUGAAAUGCGU
rnacentral:rRNA from 1 species